rnacentral:rRNA from 1 species
CGUGUAGGCGGAUAUAUAAGUCAGAAGUGAAAUCCAAUAGCUUAACUAUUGAACUGCUUUUGAAACUGUGUAUCUAGAAUGUGGGAGAGGUAGAUGGAAUUUCUGGUGUAGGGGUAAAAUCCGUAGAGAUCAGAAGGAAUACCGAUUGCGAAGGCGAUCUACUGGAACAUUAUUGACGCUGAGACGCGAAAGCGUGGGGAGCAAACA